GCGCGGUGCGCGCUGCGCGCUCUUUUCGGACGGCGGCGGUCAUGGCGCUCCCUGCGGCAGCGGCUUGGGUCCCCGGGCUGCCUGGACCCAGCAGAGCACAUCGCGGGCGCGCCGCCCCUGCGUCCGAUCGGUGCGCCCUCCCUCCGCGGCUGCAGGGGCCCCGGGCCCGGCGCCGUCCGCCUGCGCUUCCCCCAGCGCGUCUCUGACCCACUGGCUGCGACCUUGAGGAAGUCGCCUCGUAUUUCUGCGCUUGUCUGGCCUCAUGAGGAGGUUCUGCAUUGGACAGCAGGACGUGGGAGAGGACCACUGGAGCGUCAGUGAGUGGAAAAUGGGAGCAGAUUGCAGUUGGCUAACGUGCUGAAGAGCAGAGCAUUGCUUAUCUCUCAACGUUGGAUCAAAAAAAUGGUGGUCCCCAGAUUUUCCUUUGGGGUAUAGAAUAAUGCCACCUGACAAUCUGAAAUGAUUUAGGAGGCGUAAGUCCCAGAGCAUCACUAACUGUCACCGUGUGUGGACUUGGCAGUCCGUCCAUCAGUACCCCACUAGUGGCUUGCGGAGAGGGUGCAGAACUUCUGAGGAAGGUCCCUCUUGCUGCACUGGGAUCCUCCAGUUCAGUAAACGGAGAAGCCCCUUACCGCUCCCUGAACAUCAGCUCACAGUGUGGACACUGGCCAGAAGAACCGUCACAGUCCAGACCAAGCAUGUGGCAGUGUCUGAAGACUAAUAGGGAGGAGGGAGGUGGAGGCCAGGGAUGCUGCAGCGCCCUUCAGCACACAGCGCAGCUGCUGCAACUGGCACACAUGAUGGGGCAUCCAUGGACGGCUUCCCUGGAGUGAGUGUGGGGAAUCCAGUCCAGGUUAAAGAGACCUCUGACCUUCCGGCUCCAACUGAGACCCAAGGUGUUGACCAGGGAGUGUGGCGACCCGUCCUGCCAGCCCGUGAGGUGCUGCUUGUGGGUUAUCUCAGACAUGGCUGGUUUCUGUUCACAGAUGAGGCCCCUGCUGGAGAAGCCUGGGGCAGCAUCCUCAGGCCCCUGGGAACGCACGCACGGUACCGCAGUGGGGAGACAGCACAUGGCUUUGGGGCACUUGUCCGCACCCUGCUGCGAGGGCACACAGGACAGGACUGGGGAAACCGGCUCUAAGAAGUGUCUCUGGAGGAACAGAACCACAGGCUUAUAAUAGCUGAGCAGCGCAUCCGCGUUGGAAAGCAGCCCGGGUGCCCAGCCAGCAGGUUCUACGCCAACAUGGUGGCUUUGCAGGCUGAGGGCGCUGCUGCCUAAGUGUCAGCUGAGAUGGCUCAGGAUCUGAGAGACCAAGGGAAAGCCGGUGACGGGGACACAGUGGACUGGGGGACAUACAGUGCACGUUUGCAGAAGGCCCCAAGGUGCUGCAGCCCAGCUCUGCUUUUCAAAAAUGAGUGGGCAGACAGGUGGUCUCCCUGCCGGGCAGGGUUAGUACAUCCACCGCGCCUCACGGGUCAGCAGGGGGCCCCUGUGUGUGUGACACUGCAGUGGGUAAAGGACACGGCACCCAUCUGAAACCCCCCACUCAUGUCUGGGGAGCACGGUCAUGGCCAGCUGCAGGGUCCAAGUGCCCAGUCCCAAGCUUUCACUGUAUUCAGAUAUCUUCCCCUCAAGAGGAAAACUCUAGAUGGGAAAAUCAUUUUAAUAUAUUUGGAGUUUAGGAAUACUGGGAAUAUGGUGUAAUAGUUGAGAUUUUACAGUGUGUGUUUUAGGCAAAAGGUUUUUAGAGAAGCCAUGUGGGGGGUUGUGCACCUCAUUGGGCAGGGCAGGUUGGAAUGUGGGCACUCUCAACGUGCCAGCUCCAGGGAAGGGGGCCAGGCUCCAGGGAGCACAGCUUCCUGUUGUGGGUCGGGGCAGAAGAGAGGAAAUGCUUGGCUCUUUCCCAGAUAACAGACUGUACCUAGAAGUUCAUUAAAAUGAGUUAAAGAACAAGGUCA